UCGAUCCUUCCGUCCCAGA
rnacentral:tRNA from 1 species